rnacentral:tRNA from 1 species
GAGAUUAAAUAUUGAACUGCUAAAUCACACACCCGAAUCUAAACACUCGGACUUCUC